rnacentral:rRNA from 1 species
UAAUACCGGAGUAACAACAGAUGAUGCCUAUCAACUGUUUAAAAGAAUGGUUCUGCUAUCACUCUUGGAUGGACCUGCGGUGCAUUAGCUAGUUGGUAGGGUAACGGCCUACCAAGGCGAUGAUGCAUAGCCGAGUUGAGAGACUGAUCGGCCGCAUUGGGGCUGGAGACACGGCCCCAAACGUCCUACGGAGGCAGCAGUU